CCUACGGGCGGCAGCAGUGAGGAAUAUUGGUCAAUGGACGAGAGUCUGAACCAGCCAAGUAGCGUGAAGGAUGACUGCCCUAUGGGUUGUAAACUUCUUUUAUAUGGGAAUAAAAUGUUCCACGUGUGGGAUUUUGUAUGUACCAUAUGAAUAAGGAUCGGCUAACUCCGUGCCAGCAGCCGCGGUACUACGGAGGAGCCGAGCGUUAUCCGGAUUUAUUGGGUUUAAAGGGAGCGUAGGUGGAUUGUUAAGUCAGUUGUGAAAGGUUGCGGCUCAACCGUAAAAUUGCAGUUGAAACUGGCAGUCUUGAGUACAGUAGAGGUGGGCGGAAUUCGUGGUGUAGCGGUGAAAUGCUUAGAUAUCUCGAAGAACUCCGAUUGCGAAGGCAGCUCACUGGACUGCAACUGACACUGAGGCUCGAAAGUGUGGGUAUCAAACAGGAUUAGAUACCCUUGUAGUC
rnacentral:rRNA from 1 species